AAAGUCGUAACAAGGUUUCCGUAGGUGAACCUGCGGAAGGAUCAUUAGUGAAUCUGUAGCCUCAAAGGCUCACAUUCUCUAUCCUUUACACACCUGUGCACCCUUCUGAAGCGGAGAGUUAUUAGGCACCCGUGCCGAGCACCUCCCUUCGGUUACCAUAUCAACUUCAAACUACGUUUACUAGAAUGUACGCCAUCUUGUUGUAAUGACAAGCACAAUCCAAUAAAACUUUCAGCAACAGAUCUCUUGGCUCAG
rnacentral:misc_RNA from 1 species